AGCUUUUGUCAGGUGGAAAGGACAGCGCAGACGAACCAGGGGCGCUGCCUGGAGGGUCAGCGCGGAACGGGUGGAGAGGCAGAGGCGGGGCUCCCAGUGGGGUUGGAAAAAUCCUCCUUUUUAGGUGUCUGCAUCGACAGCGGCAAAGGCAGCUGGGACAUGGGAAGACGCAUGUGAAUCUUGGAGUAAACGCCUGGAGCCCCCGGCUCCGACUCCUUUUGCAGGGGAUUGAGAGACAGGGGCAGGUACCUCCAGGAAUGCACGGGAAAUUUUCAAGUGACAGCCACCCGCAUGGUGGCGAUGACACCUCCCAGGCCUUGCAGGAGAGCGCAGAGUCAUCUAGGGCUUAUAUUUGGCACCCUUUACCCUGCGUAUUAUUCCUACAAGGCUGUGAAAUCAAAGGACAUUAAGGAAUAUGUCAAAUGGAUGAUGUACUGGAUUAUAUUUGCACUUUUCACCACAGCA
rnacentral:lncRNA from 1 species